rnacentral:rRNA from 1 species
AUCUGGACCAUCCGUCUGCCACUCAAGAUCAGGAUUUUCAUGUGGCAAUGGAUCUGUGGCCGUCUUCCCUCUGGCGUGGAGGUGAUUAAGCGUCAUGGUCCGGGUGACGGUCUAUGCCCCCUUUGCGGGACGGAAGAAACUUUGAAUCACAUCUUCUUCUCGUGCGUGUCUGCCCAGUUCCUUUGGGGUUGCCUCCGCGAGGUGAUCGGUGGGGUUUGGUGCAACACCAACUUCCCUGACCUCCUUGCCGAGAUCCAGGCCACCCCCAUCGGGCCACCACAUUAG